rnacentral:rRNA from 1 species
CCUACGGGGGGCAGCAGUAGGGAAUAUUAGUAAUCUGGGAAACCGGGAACUAGCAACGCCGCGUGUGCGAUGAAGGCCUUCGGGUUGUAAAGCACUUUUUAAGGGAAUGAGAAAGGACAGUACCCUUAGAAUAAGUCUCGGCUAACUACGUGCCAGCAGCCGCGGUAAGACGUAGGAGACGAGCGUUAUUCGGAUUUACUGGGCGUAAAGCGCGUGCAGGCGGUUUGGUAAGUUGGAUGUGAAAGCUCUCGGCUCAACCGGGAGAGGUCGUUCAAGACUGCCAGACUAGAGAAUAGGAGAGGGAGGUGGAAUUCCGGGUGUAGUGGUGAAAUGCGUAGAUAUCCGGAGGAACACCAGUGGCGAAGGCGACCUCCUGGCCUAUUUCUGACGCUCAGACGCGAAAGCUAGGGUAGCAAACGGGAUUAGAUACCCCGGUAGUCAG